AAUGGGGCUUCUCCAAACAUCAUGGGAAACACUUCAUACAGUAACAUUUGUGGUUUGCUUAACUCACAGGACUGUUUCUUAGGCCUGUGGGAAGGAACUACAAGACAGCC
rnacentral:snoRNA from 1 species